AAAUAAUAUAGUCGUUUCGGUGUCGGGAAAUCCGGUGAAAGACCGGUGCGGCCCCGCCGCUGUAACCCCGAUGAAAUCGCAGGUUUGCCACUGCCUUUUGGUGGGAAGGCGCGAAAGUAAGAUGAAGGGAAGCCAGAAGACCGGCCGAAAUGCGUGAGUGCUA
rnacentral:ncRNA from 2 species